rnacentral:rRNA from 1 species
AUUGAACGCUGGCGGCAUGCCUUACACAUGCAAGUCGAACGGUAACAGGUCUUCGGAUGCUGACGAGUGGCGAACGGGUGAGUAAUACAUCGGAACGUGCCCAGUAGUGGGGGAUAACUACUCGAAAGAGUGGCUAAUACCGCAUGAGAUCUACGGAUGAAAGCAGGGGAUCGCAAGACCUUGUGCUACUAGAGCGGCCGAUGGCAGAUUGGGUAGUUGGUGGGAUAAAAGCUUACCAAGCCGACGAUCUGUAGCUGGUCUGAGAGGACGAUCAGCCAACCUGGGACUGAGACACGGCCCAGACUCCUACGGGAGGCAGAAGUGGGGAAUUUUGGACAAUGGGCGAAAGCCUGAUCCAGCAAUGCCGCGUGCAGGAUGAAGGCCUUCGGGUUGUAAACUGCUUUUGUACGGAACGAAAAGCCCCGGGUUAAUACCCUGGGGUCAUGACGGUACCGUAAGAAUAAGCACCGGCUAACUACGUGCCAGCAGCCGCCGUAA